rnacentral:tRNA from 1 species
GUUCCCAUAGUGUAGUGGUUAUCAAUCUGCCUAACACGCAGAAGGUCCCAGGUUCGCGACCUGGUCGGAACA